rnacentral:tRNA from 1 species
GCCGCUGUAGCUCAGUUGGUAGAGCACCUCAUUCGUAAUGAGGCUGUCGGGGGUUCGAGUCCCUUCAGCGGCU